rnacentral:rRNA from 1 species
CGACUCCUGGGAUGGACUGCCGGCGACAAGCCGGAGGAAGUGGGGAUGACGUCAAGUCAUCAUGGCCCUUAUGUCCAGGGCGACACACGUGCUACAAUGGCCGGCACAGCGGGAAGCGAGGGGGCGACCUUGAGCGGAUCCCUCAAAGCCGGUCUCAGUUCGGAUUGCAGUCUGCAACUCGACUGCAUGAAGUUGGAAUCGCUAGUAAUCGUGGAUCAGCCAAGCCGCGGUGAAUACGUUCCCGGGCCUU